GGGCUCAUAGUUUAGUGGUAUAAUACCCCCUCAGCAUCGGGGUGGUCCUGGGUUCGAUUCCUGGCGAGUCCA
rnacentral:tRNA from 1 species